rnacentral:lncRNA from 1 species
GCGCCCUCCCCGCGCGUCUCUCCGCGGGCUCAGCCCUCCGCGCGCCGCCCUGCGCCCGGCCUCCUCAGCCCCGGCCCGCCGCUCGACCUCCUCCGCCGCCGCUUGCCGCGGCCGCUUCAGCCGCCGCCUCAGCCCGGCCGGGCCGGGCCUCCGCCGCGGGCGGUGCACCGGGUCGGCGAGGACGGGCUGCGAGCGCACUGUGUUUCUGAAGCCAGAGCCAUGACCUGACACCCUGAUGCUACUGUCAGGGCCUCUGUGCAACUGGCACGUGCACCAUGGAACUCAAAGUGUGGGUGGAUGGAGUCCAGAGGAUCGUCUGUGGGGUCACGGAGGUCACGACUUGCCAGGAGGUUGUAAUAGCCUUAGCCCAAGCCAUAGGUCGAACUGGAAGGUACACCCUUAUAGAGAAAUGGAGAGACACUGAACGUCACUUGGCACCACAUGAAAACCCCAUUGUGUCCUUGAACAAGUGGGGGCAGUAUGCUAGUGAUGUGCAGCUCAUCUUGCGUCGGACUGGGCCAUCUCUCAGUGAGCGACCCACCUCAGACAGUGUGGCCCGCAUUCCCGAAAGAACUUUGUAUCGACAGAGCCUGCCCCCUUUAGCCAAGCUUCGGCCUCAGGUAGACAAGUCCAUCAGAAGGAGAGAGCCUAAAAGAAAAUCUCUCACCUUCAC